rnacentral:tRNA from 1 species
GGGGAUUUAGCUCAGCGGCAUAAGCACCUGCCUUGCAAGCAGACGGUUGUGAGUUCAAUUCCCA